CCCAAAGCCACCCUAGAUUCAAAGAUUGGAAAACGGACACCACCUAUACCAUCUCUUGAAGUCAUCUUCAGAUCAUGAGAAUUAAAAGUGCUAUUAUGGAUGGAAGAAGAGGAAACUACAAAUGGCUUGGAUCCUUGAUUUCAAGGAAAACUAUAUGGAUUCCCAAGCAAUAUGUAAAACCAUAUCAGUCCUUGACUACCCACCUCUGGACUUAUUAUAUAAGAAAAAUAAUUCUGUAUUUUCUGAAAAAACUGUGAUUGUUCUACGAAUACGUGUAGCCAAACACUAUUUUAACCAACACAGCAACUGAAGUUGAUCACAAGAGUAUGAACUGAUAUUAGCAAUACAAGUGGCUCAGAGAAAAAAUAAAGAGUUCAUUUUCCUCCCCAAAACAAGC
rnacentral:lncRNA from 1 species